AUUGAACGCUGGCGGCAGGCCUAACACAUGCAAGUCGAGCGGAUGAAGAGAGCUUGCUCUCUGAUUCAGCGGCGGACGGGUGAGUAAUGCCUAGGAAUCUGCCUGGUAGUGGGGGACAACGUCUCGAAAGGGACGCUAAUACCGCAUACGUCCUACGGGAGAAAGCAGGGGACCUUCGGGCCUUGCGCUAUCAGAUGAGCCUAGGUCGGAUUAGCUAGUUGGUGAGGUAAUGGCUCACCAAGGCGACGAUCCGUAACUGGUCUGAGAGGAUGAUCAGUCACACUGGAACUGAGACACGGUCCAGACUCCUACGGGAGGCAGCAGUGGGGAAUAUUGGACAAUGGGCGAAAGCCUGAUCCAGCCAUGCCGCGUGUGUGAAGAAGGUCUUCGGAUUGUAAAGCACUUUAAGUUGGGAGGAAGGGCAGUUACCUAAUACGUGAUUGUUUUGACGUUACCGACAGAAUAAGCACCGGCUAACUCUGUGCCAGCAGCCGCGGUAAUACAGAGGGUGCAAGCGUUAAUCGGAAUUACUGGGCGUAAAGCGCGCGUAGGUGGUUAGUUAAGUUGGAUGUGAAAUCCCCGGGCUCAACCUGGGAACUGCAUUCAAAACUGACUGACUAGAGUAUGGUAGAGGGUGGUGGAAUUUCCUGUGUAGCGGUGAAAUGCGUAGAUAUAGGAAGGAACACCAGUGGCGAAGGCGACCACCUGGACUGAUACUGACUCUGAAAGACGAAAGCAUGGGGAGCAAACA
rnacentral:rRNA from 1 species